CUCUGCUCUCCUCCCUCCUCCUCCUCCUCUUCCCCGUUUUUUUUCCUAGUGUGGUUUGAGUUGGCUUUCUACCCUUAAAAUGCAGAGUUCUGACAAAUAUAAUGACAUUUGCUCAAAGAAUUGCCAUUAUCUCUUUCAUGCUAAAUAGGAAAAAAAAAAAAGUAGUGUAUUCUAGGCCUCCAUUAAAAAUGGAGGAUAAAUGUCCGGAAAAAGAAAUAAAAAUUACAAUUUUGGGAGAGGAUCCCUGAGGUAUUUUCCAUGUCCUAGGAUUCUUUUUAGUGAUGCUACAGAGAAUACUGUAUUGAGAGUAAACUUCUAUUUAGAUAUGCAAAGAAGAAUAGCAGUAUAAUUUUCAUUAAAAACAUCAGCCAUAUUUAGCUCUGAAUAAAUAUAUAAAAGGUACAGAGGAUAAAAUUACAUUUGCAGUUAUUUGUGGACUGAAUCUUUACUGUCUCUGCUUUUUAAAAUUUUUUUAAAAAUUUACUUGUUUUGAGAGAGCAAGCACAAGCAGGGAAGGGAUAGAGGGAGAGAGGGAAUCCCGGGCAGUGUUUACACCAUCAUUGCAGAGCCUAACACAGGGCUUGAACUCCCAAACCAUGAGAUCAUGGCCCGAGCUGAGAUCAAGAGUCAGGCGCUUAACUCACUGAACCACCCAGGUGCCCCUAACGUCUCUACUUCUUAAGAAUCUCAGAGUGAGUAAGGCCUAACUGGCCUGAAGCUUCAGGGCUGACCCAGGAUGCGAGCUGGAGGACCAGGAGUGUACUGAGUCAGUGUCAGCAUUCUGAGCUGGUAAAAAUGGUGUUUGUGUGCUCCAUUGGGAUGGUGAGUUGAGAUAGGGGCUGGAGAGCUCAGUAUGGCCACAUUCAUAUAAAAGUUUACAAUUUGAUUAGGAUUUGAAAACAUGUUAAGGAAGGAAAAAUUCCCCUUAAAAUCAUCCUGGUCACUGAAUAGUGUGGUAGGAAGAAAUGAUCUCUUAUAAGCUGAGAAGCCCAGAAAAAAUGUAGUCAUUGUUCCAAGUUCCAGCACAGCUUUAUCUAGAGAAUAGUGCACACACUCCUACCAUUUGUAUUUGUUUUCUUCUUUUGGUGUGCAUUAGUUUUUAAAUUUUACCCGAGACUGGAAAAGUUGUUUAUGUGGGUGUGUAAGAGUUGUGUUUUUAAAAUAGGUGAGAAUCCUGUGGAUUGACUUAACUAAUUUUCUUUGCAAGUGGUUGCAUAGGAGAAUCGAAUGCAAGUCCUUCUACUUAUGUCAGAUUUAAAUAAUGCCUUAAUAUAAUAUAAUGUCUUAAAUAUUGAAUUGUCUUUUUAUACUACAGUUUGUCCCAUGAUUCCUUUAACAUAGCUCAUAAAGUUGUACAAAAGAGUGAGAUUGAGAUUCUUUACUGUCAGGCACUUCCUUCAUUUAGCAUUUAUUUAAAAAAUUUGAAUACCAGUCCUGUGUAAGACACUAUGGCAAAUACAAAGGGUACAAGAAAUAGUUUAUGCCUUAAACCAGUUAUAUUCUCAGAGAUUUAAAAUCUUUACACAAGUAUCUAUUACUCAGAGCAUUGUAUAUUAAGUGUAUUUGUUGAGUAUAAGCUAAGUGAUUUAAGGUCUGAGAGUAUCAUUGAAGUCCAUUUGGGGUGUUGAUUUUAUGUGUCAACUUGAUUGGGCCAUGGAGUGCCCAGAUACUUGAUCAAACAUUAUUCUGGGUGUUUCUAUGACCGUGUUUUUGGAUGAGAUUAGCAUUUAAAUACAUAGACUGAGUAAAGCAAAUUGCCUCUCUAGCAUGGGUGGGCCUCAUCCAAUCAGUUGAAGGCCUGAAUAGAACAAAAGGAUGACCCUCAACCCAGUAAAAAAGAAUCAUUUCCUGCCUGCCUUCAGACUGGGACAUCAGCGUUUUUCCUACAGAUUCAAAUGGAAAGAUCAGCUUUUUCUGGGUCUCAAGCUUGCUGGUGUACAGACAGGAACUACACCAUCAACUCUCCUGGUUCUCAGGCCUUCCAACUCAGACUGGAACUAAACCAUCAGCUCUCUUGGGUCUCUAGUUUGCUGACUCACCCUGCAGAUCUUGGGACUUGCCAGCCUCCUUAAUUUUUCAACCAGUUCCUUAUAAUAAAUGCCUUUAUUUAUUUCCUCUUAAUUUUGUUUCUCUGGGGAACUCUGACUAAUCUAGAGCAACUCAGAAAGGUAUCAUGGAGGAGGUGGAAUUAAACCACAGGUUAAACUAUUGCAUAAGCAAGAUUUCACGAGGUGAAGAUGUUAAAGGAACACUAUAGGUAGAGGAAAUUGCAUAUCUGAUGGGAGCAAUCUCAAGUAGUAUUAAUUUGACUUGGAUUUUAGACUGUCUCUACUGCUGUUUUGCAUUUCAAAAGCAUUGUGGGAGAAUGCUAGUUUAACCACAACCUACUGGAUGGUGUGUAUGUACCUUUUUUUUUUGACUGUAGCAGGUGGGUUGAUUAUUGGGUAAAGAGGAGGACUGCUUUCUCAGCAGCCUGGUUAAUCUUCCCUGUGAUCAUUUUUCAUUACUUUGCCAUGCUCUUAGCUCCUUAGUGCCAGGGGAGGGGAUGGUUAGAUAUUUAGAAUGGCGGACUGUAUAAAGUUUGUAAGUGUGUGUGUGUGUGUGUGUGUGUGUUGGUCUUGGCAGGUUUGCAAAGUCGACAUGAUUGUAUUCUUCCUUUGGUCCUAUUUUUUUUCUAUUUUUUUGUUAACGUUUAUUCAUUUUUCAGAGAAAGUGCAAGCAGGGGUGGGGUAGAGAGAGAGAGGGAGACACAGACUCCAAAGCAGGCUCCAGGCUCUGAGCUGUCAGCACAGAGCCCAAUGUGGGGGCUCAAACUCACAAACCAUGAGAUCAUGACCUGAGCUGAAGUCAGAUGCUUAACCAACUGAGCCACCCAGGUGCCCCACUUUGGUCCAAUUUUAAAUUUGCUUUUCUGUUUGUGGAUGUAAGUUACAGAAAGGCAAGGUUUAUAUAGCUUUGAAAUUCAUGUUUAUUACUGAGCUCUUGAAAUAUGGCUAGUGUGAAUAGAAUUUUUUAGUUUUAUUUAAUUUUAGUUUAAAUUGCCACAAAUGGCUAGUGGCCACUCUAGGGGAUGGUACACUUCUAGAGUUCAAGUAGUUUUGAUGUCUUUCUAGAACACUCUGUGGAAGUUAGAAAGGCUGUAAUAUUUUCAUUCACAUAUAGUAAAAUACAUAUUAAGAAUAGAAUAUUUUAAAUUUGUAGAUGUGUUAUUGGUGGUUGCAUGGUAAAUGAAUUUUGAUUCUGGCAGUUAUCUAGUAAAAUUAGGUGUUAGUUGAUUGGCCUAUACUUUGCGUAAUACCAAAUACUAGUAUGUGAAUGUUAGAAAGCAAUAUAUUUAUUAACAAUAGGAUUAGUAAAAUGAUAAAAGGAAAAGGGCUAUGUGAUAAAAGGUGAAAGAAUAAGGACAGGAGAGGGAGAAAAAUCUAGGAAAGUCUAGGUGGAGAUAGUUUGGCAAAAAAAAAUCUGUACCAACUGUUAGAGUAAAAGGAGACCUCCAAUAAAAAACACUUUUGUAGCUCUUUCUGCCCACAGGUCCUGUCCCUGUGCGUUAUUAAAAAAACCUUUUUGCACCAAAAAAACCAAAAAAACAAAAACCAAAAA